UUUGUAAUUAUAUACACAUAUAUCCGUUUUUUUGUAAUUGUAUUUGUCUAUUUUAGAUCUUAAUCCGUGCUUCAAGUGUGGGUAUAAUGUUGGUUUCUAUUUUUUUGUUUUUUAUGAAAAUAUGUUACAUUUUCUGCAUUUUUUCUUAUAUGUUAUAAAAUUUUAAUUUAUAUUUUUGUGUAUAAUAUUUUUUAAAAAAAGUAUUAGUAAAAGAUUUUGAGGUAUUGAAUUUUUGAUGUUGC
rnacentral:lncRNA from 1 species